ACCCUGCUGAUGAGUCGCAAAUAGGACGAAGUGCUCAUCGUGGAU
rnacentral:hammerhead_ribozyme from 1 species